rnacentral:rRNA from 1 species
UCGCUAGUAAUCGCGGAUCAGAAUGCCGCGGUGAAUACGUUCCCGGGUCUUGUACACACCGCCCGUCACACCAUGGGAGCUGGUAACACCCGAAGUCAGUAGUCUAACCGCAAGGAGGACGCUGCCGAAGGUGGGAUUAGCGACUGGGGUGAAGUCGUAACAAGGUAGC